UCAUAAUACAGUCCAAAGGGACCUAUACAACCAGGACAUCCAGCAGAACAUUACAUUGGUCUACUACAUUGAUGACACCACGUUAAUUGGACCUUAGGAGCAAGAAAUGGCUCUGCCAGCCUAGAGAUCCUAAUACUCAGACAGGGGAUACUUCCAUCAGAGGACACUGUAAGAGUCUCACUCAACUUAGAGCUAUGGCUGCCGUCUUAGAGCUUUGGGCUCCUAUUGCCAGAAGACUGACAAGCAAAUCAUCAGAAUGAGUGUGCCAUGUUGUAGAAAGGCUGGCAAACUGAAAAUGACAUGACCCAAGACUUUCUGGGAACCACAGUUCUGGAUGCAAAUUAGAUUCUGCCAGUUAAAUAU
rnacentral:lncRNA from 1 species